AUCGUUCUGUUUUUGUUCUCUCCCUCCCCCGCUCUCUCUCGUUAUGUCUCCGACAACGACGGCAGCUUCUGCCACCCUUCAGGCAGCAUCCGCCAGCACACCAUCCGUAGUUUACACGUUCAGGUAUCCAUCUCUUUAUUGCUAAACAUUCACCAGAAUCAGCAACAAUUACAUUGUCUCGCCUAUUUGAUUCAAAUGUUGUCAUUGCAUUCCUUCCAAUUUUAGAAAGUUCCCGAGGAAACUUUCCGGAGAGGUUAUUGUUAGCGAGGUUUAGCCAUAACAAACUAGUACAGUUCCCUAACUCUGGAGGAAUUGGUCCGGUUAAUGAAUUGUCUGCAAGCAUCAACCACAAGAGUGAACUCAAGUUUCCGAGGCUUGGAUGUAUUGAUCCAGUCAACUUGUUGAAAGAAAGGUACAAAUUUAUGGCACUGAUGUCAUACUACCUUUCUCAGUUACCAUAUCAGGAUUCCCUCCAAAUACUCGAGGCUGAUAUACAACAAGCUGCUGCAAUUACAAGAGCCAGAGGAGGGACUCUUAUUAAAAUGAAAUUGGUUUGCAAUCAAUUGGUUCCUCUUUUUUUUUUUAUUAUUUCUGCAUUGGAUGGAUUGUUCUUGUGCUAGCUUUUUGCGUAAUUAUCUCAACCUCUUCCAUAUAUUUAUAUACAAGGUAUCUGAGUUAGAAGAGUCAAGAGAUGGCAGGUGUUGGGAGUCUAGUUAGCACUAAUUAAGGAUCAUGAAGCAACCUCACGUACUGGGAAUAUUGAGAUAUUUUGUGAACUUCUUAUUUUGACUUAAUGUUUUAUCACUCUACUAAUGGUUAGGUUUUAGUUUUUUGAAUGAUUGAACUACAUUAGUUUUUUCUUUUUUCUUUUGGAGUUUCAUGUAUUUUAAUUAAAUUUUUUAUGUAUGAAUGUUGUCAGUAUUAAAUGAAUUAUAUAAAUGAGAUUAAG